AUUGAACGCUGGCGGCAGGCCUAACACAUGCAAGUCGAGCGGGAUUUACCUUCGGGUAAUGAGAGCGGCGGACGGGUGAGUAAUGCUUGGGAAUCUACCUAGUAGUGGGGGACAACAGUUGGAAACGACUGCUAAUACCGCAUACGCCCUACGGGGGAAAGGGGGGGAUCUUCGGACCUCUUGCUAUUAGAUGAGCCCAAGUCGGAUUAGCUAGUUGGUGGGGGAAAGGCCUACCAAGGCGACGAUCCGUAGCUGGUUUGAGAGGAUGCUCAGCCACACUGGGACUGAGACACGGCCCAGACUCCUACGGGAGGCAGCAGUGGGGAAUAUUGGACAAUGGGCGCAAGCCUGAUCCAGCCAUGCCGCGUGUGUGAAGAAGGCCCUAGGGUUGUAAAGCACUUUAAGUAGGGAGGAAGGUCUGGUAAUUAAUACUUAUCAGGAUCGACGUUACCUACAGAAUAAGCACCGGCUAACUCCGUGCCAGCCGCCGCAGUAA
rnacentral:rRNA from 1 species